CUGAAAUCCACUUACCUGUUCCCGGGUCCUGUGU
rnacentral:sRNA from 1 species